UACGUAGGGGGCUAGCGUUGUCCGGAAUCAUUGGGCGUAAAGCGCGCGUAGGCGGCCCGGUAAGUCCGCUGUGAAAGUCCAGGGCUCAACCCUGGGAUGCCGGUGGAUACUGUCGGGCUCGAGUCCGGAAGAGGCGAGUGGAAUUCCUGGUGUAGCGGCGAAAUGCGCAGAUAUCAGGAGGAACACCCGUAGCGAAGGCGGCACUCUGGGCCGAUACUGACACUGAGGAGCGAAAGCGUGGGGAGCGAACAGG
rnacentral:rRNA from 1 species